rnacentral:rRNA from 1 species
UUCACGGAGAGUUUGAUCCUGGCUCAGGACGAACGCUGGCGGCGCGCUUAACACAUGCAAGUCGAGCGAGAACCAGGCCUUCGGGCCUGGGGACAGCGGCGAACGGGUGAGUAACACGUGGGUAAUCUGCCCUCGAUUCUGGGAUAGCCCGGGGAAACCCGGAUUAAUACCGGAUAGCCUCUCGAGCUUUCGGGCUCGAAAGAAAAGGUAGCUUCGGCCUCCGAUCGAGGAUGAGCCCGCGGCGGAUUAGCUUGUUGGUGGGGUAAUGGCCCACCAAGGCGACGAUCCGUAGCUGGUCUGAGAGGACGAUCAGCCACACUGGGACUGAGACACGGCCCAGACUCCUACGGGAGGCAGCAGUGGGGAAUCUUGCGCAAUGGGCGAAAGCCUGACGCAGCGACGCCGCGUGAGGGAAGAA